GCGCCCUUAGCUCAGUUGGAUAGAGCAGCGGCCUUCUAAGCCGCAGGUCGGAGGUUCGAAUCCUCCAGGGCGCGCCA
rnacentral:tRNA from 1 species